rnacentral:rRNA from 1 species
AAUGAACGCUGGCGGCGUGCUUAACACAUGCAAGUCGAACGAGAAGUGAAGACGGAAACCUUCGGGCGGAAGGCUUUAUUUCGAGUGGCGGACGGGUGAGUAACGCGUGGGUAACCUGCCUCAUACAGGGGGAUAACAGUUGGAAACGACUGUUAAUACCGCAUAAGACCACAGCACCGCAUGGUGCGGGGGUAAAAACUCCGGUGGCAUGAGAUGGACCCGCGUUCGAUUAGCCAGUUGGCGGGGUAACGGCCCACCAAAGCGACGAUCGAUAGCCGAUCUGAGAGGAUGACCGGCCACAUUGGGACUGAGACACGGCCCAAACUCCUACGGGAGGCAGCAGUGGGGAAUAUUGCACAAUGGGGGAAACCCUGAUGCAGCGACGCCGCGUGAGUGAAGAAGUAUUUCGGUAUGUAAAGCUCUAUCAGCAGGGAAGAAAAUGACGGUACCUGAGUAAGAAGCCCCGGCUAACUACGUG